AACGAACGCUGGCGGCGUGCUUAACACGUGCAAGUCGAACGUGAAAGGCUUCGGCCGAGUAAAGUGGCGCACGGGUGAGUAACGCGUGGGUAAUCUGCCCUUGGGCGGGGGAUAACCUCUCGAAAGGGGGGCUAAUACCGCAUGAGACCACGGCUUCUCGGGGCUGUGGGAAAAGGUGGGUCGCAAGGCCUGCCACCUGAGGAUGAGCCCGCGUACCAUUAGGUUGUUGGUGGGGUAAUGGCCUACCAAGCCGAAGAUGGUUAGCUGGUCUGAGAGGACGAUCAGCCACACUGGGACUGAGACACGGCCCAGACUCCUACGGGAGGCAGCAGUGGGGAAUAUUGCGCAAUGGGGGAAACCCUGACGCAGCAACGCCGCGUGUGUGAAGAAGGCCUUCGGGUCGUAAAGCACUGUUGGGAGGAACGAGCCGCUCGUGGGGAAGUAUCUGCGAGCCCGACGGUACCGUCCU
rnacentral:rRNA from 1 species